rnacentral:rRNA from 1 species
GAACCCCUGUGAGGGGAGUGAAAUAGAACCUGAAACCGUGUACGUACAAGCAGUAGGAGCACCUUCGUGGUGUGACUGCGUACCUUUUGUAUAAUGGGUCAGCGACUUAUAUUCAGUGGCAAGGUUAACCAUCUAGGGGAGCCGUAGGGAAACCGAGUCUUAACUGGGCGUUCAGUCUCUGGAUAUAGACCCGAAACCAGGUGAUCUAGCCAUGGGCAGGUUGAAGGUUGAGUAACAUCAACUGGAGGACCGAACCGACUAAUGUUGAAAAAUUAGCGGAUGACUUGUGGCUAGGGGUGAAAGGCCAAUCAAACCUGGAGAUAGCUGGUUCUCCCCGAAAGCUAUUUAGGUAGCGCCUCGGACGAAUACUACUGGGGGUAGAGCACUGUUAAGGCUAGGGGGUCAUCCCGACUUACCAACCCUUUGCAAACUCCGAAUACCAGUAAGUACUAUCCGGGAGACACACGGCGGGUGCUAACGUCCGUCGUGGAGAGGGAAACAACCCAGACCGCCAGCUAAGGUCCCAAAUUACUACUAAGUGGGAAACGAUGUGGGAAGGCUCAGACAGCCAGGAUGUUGGCUUAGAAGCAGCCAUCAUUUAAAGAAAGCGUAAUAGCUCACUGGUCGAGUCGGCCUGCGCGGAAGAUGUAACGGGGCUAAGUAGUAAACCGAAGCUGCGGCAAUAUACUUUUGUAUAUUGGGUAGG